rnacentral:rRNA from 1 species
UAGGGAAUCUUCCGCAAUGGACGCAAGUCUGACGGAGCAACGCCGCGUGAGUGAAGAAGGAUUUCGGUUCGUAAAACUCUGUUGUUAGAGAAGAACAGCGCUUAGAGUAACUGUUAUGCGUGUGACGGUAUCUAACCAGAAAGCCACGGCUAACUACGUGCCAGCAGCCGCGGUAAUACGUAGGUGGCAAGCGUUGUCCGGAUUUAUUGGGCGUAAAGCGAGCGCAGGCGGUCAAUUAAGUCUGAUGUGAAAGCCCCCGGCUCAACCGGGGAGGGUCAUUGGAAACUGGUUGACUUGAGUGCAGAAGAGGAGAGUGGAAUUCCAUGUGUAGCGGUGAAAUGCGUAGAUAUAUGGAGGAACACCGGUGGCGAAAGCGGCUCUCUGGUCUGUAACUGACGCUGAGGCUCGAAAGCGUGGGGAGCGAACAGG